ensembl:snRNA U6 U6 spliceosomal RNA
GUGCUCCCUUUGGCAGCAUAUAUACUAAAAUUGAAACAAUACACAGAAGAUUAGCAUGGCCCCUGUGCAAGGAUGACACACAAAUUCGAGAAUUGUUCCAAAAAAAAUUUUU